rfam:Pan troglodytes isolate Yerkes chimp pedigree #C0471 (Clint) chromosome 12, whole genome shotgun sequence.
GCUGGGUGUGGUGGCACACAUCUGUGGUCCCAGCUACUCAGGAGGCUGAGGCAGGAGGAUCACUUGAGUUUGGGAGGUCUAGGCUGCAGUGAGCCAUGGUUGGGCCACUGCACUCCAGCCUGAGUGACAGAGCGAGACCCUGUCUCUA